rnacentral:rRNA from 1 species
GAUGAACGCUGACAGAAUGCUUAACACAUGCAAGUCUUUGGUGAAGCUGUGCUUGCACAGCCUAGCCAAGGCGGACGGGUGAGUAACGCGUAAGGAACUUGCCCUGCAGUCAGGGAUAACAGACGGAAACGACUGAUAAGACCUGGUAAAGUCAGGCGGACUCAUGUCCAGCCUGAUGAAAAGAGAUGCUGCAGGAGAGCCUUGCGUCCUAUUAGCUUGUUGGUGGGGUAACGGCCCACCAAGGCAAUGAUAGGUAGCCGGCCUGAGAGGGUGGACGGCCACAAGGGGACUGAGAUACGGCCCUUACUCCUACGGGAGGCAGCAGUGGGGAAUAUUGGACAAUGGGGGCAACCCUGAUCCAGCAAUUCUGUGUGCACGAUGAAGGUUUUCGGAUUGUAAAGUGCUUUCAGCAGGGAAGAAAAAAAUGACGGUACCUGCAGAAGAAGCGACGGCUAAAUACGUG